AUUGAACGCUGGCGGAAUGCUUUACACAUGCAAGUCGAACGGCAGCACGGGGGCAACCCUGGUGGCGAGUGGCGAACGGGUGAGUAAUAUAUCGGAACGUGCCCAGUCGUGGGGGAUAACGUAGCGAAAGUUACGCUAAUACCGCAUACGAUCUACGGAUGAAAGCGGGGGAUCGCAAGACCUCGCGCGAUUGGAGCGGCCGAUAUCAGAUUAGGUAGUUGGUGGGGUAAAGGCUCACCAAGCCAACGAUCUGUAGCUGGUCUGAGAGGACGACCAGCCACACUGGGACUGAGACACGGCCCAGACUCCUACGGGAGGCAGCAGUGGGGAAUUUUGGACAAUGGACGCAAGUCUGAUCCAGCCAUUCCGCGUGCAGGACGAAGGCCUUCGGGUUGUAAACUGCUUUUGUACGGAACGAAAAAGCCUUGGCUAAUACCCGGGGUCCAUGACGGUACCGUAAGAAUAAGCACCGGCUAACUACGUGCCAGCAGCCGCGGUAAUACGUAGGGUGCGAGCGUUAAUCGGAAUUACUGGGCGUAAAGCGUGCGCAGGCGGUUAUAUAAGACAGAUGUGAAAUCCCCGGGCUCAACCUGGGAACUGCAUUUGUGACUGUAUAGCUAGAGUGCGGCAGAGGGGGAUGGAAUUCCGCGUGUAGCAGUGAAAUGCGUAGAUAUGCGGAGGAACACCGAUGGCGAAGGCA
rnacentral:rRNA from 1 species